rnacentral:rRNA from 1 species
UACAGAGGUCCCAAGCGUUGUUCGGAUUCACUGGGCGUAAAGGGUGCGUAGGUGGUGAGUUAAGUCUGUCGUGAAAUCCCCAGGCUCAACCUGGGAACUGCGUCCGAUACUGGAUGGCUUGAAUCCGGGAGAGGGAUGCAGAAUUCCAGGUGUAGCGGUGAAAUGCGUAGAUAUCUGGAGGAAUACCGGUGGCGAAGGCGGCAUCCUGGACCGGCAUUGACGCUGAGGAGCGAAAGCCAGGGGAGCAAACGGG